GAUCAUGGCUCAGAUUGAACGCUGGCGGCAGACCUAACACAUGCAAGUCGAACGGUAACAGAAAGCAGCUUGCUGCUUUGCUGACGAGUGGCGGACGGGUGAGUAAUGUCUGGGAAACUGCCCGAUGGAGGGGGAUAACUACUGGAAACGGUAGCUAAUACCGCAUAACGUCGCAAGACCAAAGAGGGGGACCUUCGGGCCUCUUGCCAUCGGAUGUGCCCAGAUGGGAUUAGCUAGUAGGG
rnacentral:rRNA from 1 species